rnacentral:rRNA from 1 species
GUGGGUGGCGAGUGGCGGACGGGUGAGUAAUGCAUCGGGACCUGCCCAGACGUGGGGGAUAACGUAGGGAAACUUACGCUAAUACCGCAUACGUCCUACGGGAGAAAGCGGGGGAUCGAAAGACCUCGCGCGGUUGGAUGGACCGAUGUUCGAUUAGCUAGUUGGUGAGGUAAUGGCUCACCAAGGCGACGAUCGAUAGCUGGUCUGAGAGGAUGAUCAGCCACACUGGGACUGAGACACGGCCCAGACUCCUACGGGAGGCAGCAGUGGGGAAUAUUGGACAAUGGGCGAAAGCCUGAUCCAGCAAUGCCGCGUGUGUGAAGAAGGCCUUCGGGUUGUAAAGCACUUUUAUCAGGAGCGAAAUACUGCCGGCUAAUACCCGGUGGGGCUGACGGUACCUGAGGAAUAAGCACCGGCUAACUUCGUGCCAGCAGCCGCGGUAAUACGAAGGGUGCAAGCGUUAAUCGGAAUUACUGGGCGUAAAGCGUGCGUAGGCGGUUCUUUAAGUCUGCUGUGAAAUCCCCGGGCUCAACCUGGGAAUGGCAGUGGAUACUGGAGAGCUAGAGUGUGAUAGAGGAUGGUGGAAUUCCCGGUGUAGCGGUGAAAUGCGUAGAGAUCGGGAGGAACAUCAGUGGCGAAGGCGGCCAUCUGGAUCAACA